rnacentral:tRNA from 1 species
CCUUGGCCUGGGCGAGGUCAUGACGCUGAAUCCGCACGUAAUGGACGAAAUCGGCCACGAGUUUCUGCCGUUCCGCCUCGGCCGCCUUGGC